UAGGGAAUAUUGGACAAUGGGCGAAAGCCUGAUCCAGCAACGCCGCGUGCGCGAUGACGGCCUUCGGGUUGUAAAGCGCUUUUAGGAGAGAUGAGAAAGGACAGUAUCUCCAGAAUAAGCCUCGGCGAACUACGUGCCAGCAGCCGCGGUAAAACGUAGGAGGCGAGCGUUAUCCGGAUUUAUUGGGCGUAAAGCGUGUGCAGGCGGUCUAGCAAGUUGGAUGUGAAAGCUCCCGGCUUAACUGGGAGAGGUCGUUCAAAACUGCUAGACUAGAGAAUGGAAGAGGGAGGUGGAAUUCCGGGUGUAGUGGUGAAAUGCGUAGAUAUCCGGAGGAACACCAGUGGCGAAAGCGGCCUCCUAGGCCAUUUCUGACGCUAAGACACGAAAGCUAGGGUAGCAAACGG
rnacentral:rRNA from 1 species